GACAGAGGGUGCAAGCGUUGUUCGGAAUCAUUGGGCGUAAAGCGCGCGUAGGCGGCUUCGCAAGUCGGAUGUGAAAGCCCAGGGCUCAACCCUGGAAGUGCAUCCGAAACUGCGUGGCUUGAGUCCCGGAGAGGGUGGUGGAAUUCCUGGUGUAGAGGUGAAAUUCGUAGAUAUCAGGAGGAACACCGGUGGCGAAGGCGACCACCUGGACGGAGACUGACGCUGAGGCGCGAAAGCGUGGGUAGCAAACAGG
rnacentral:misc_RNA from 1 species